CCUACGGGAGGCAGCAGUAGGGAAUAUUGCUCAAUGGGGGAAACCCUGAAGCAGCAACGCCGCGUGGAGGAUGAAGGCUUUCGGAUUUUAAACUCCUUUUGUUAGAGAAGAUAAUGACGGUAUGUAACGAAUAAGCACUGGCUAAUACCGUGCCAGCAGCCGCGGUAAUGUGGAGGGUGCCAGCGUUACUCGGAAUCACUGGGCGUAAAGAGCGCGUAGGCGGGAUAGCAAGUCAGAUGUGAAAUCCUAUGGGUUAACCAUAGAACUGCAAUUGAUACUGUUAUUCUAGAGUAUGGGAGAGGUAGGUGGAAUUCUUGGUGUAGGGGUAAAAUCCGUAGAGAUCAAGAAGAAUACUCAUUGCGAAGGCGACCUGCUAGAACAUAACUGACGCUGAUGCGCGAAAGCGUGGGGAGCAAACAGGAUUAGAUACCCGAGUAGUC
rnacentral:rRNA from 1 species